UACGUAGGGGGCAAGCGUUGUCCGGAUUUAUUGGGCGUAAAGAGCGUGUAGGCGGUUUGGUAGGUCCGUUGUGAAAACUCGAGGCUCAACCUCGAGACGCCGAUGGAAACCAUCAGACUAGAGUCCGGAAGAGGAGAGUGGAAUUCCUGGUGUAGCGGUGGAAUGCGCAGAUAUCAGGAGGAACACCGGUGGCGAAGGCGGGUCUCUGGGCCGUUACUGACGCUGAGGAGCGAAAGCGUGGGGAGCGAACAGG
rnacentral:rRNA from 1 species